rnacentral:rRNA from 1 species
UCUACGGGGAGCAGCAGUGGGGGAUAUUGGACAAUGGGGGGAACCCUGAUCCAGCGACGCCGCGUGAGUGAAGAAGUAUUUCGGUAUGUAAAGCUCUGUCAGCAGGGAAGAAAGCAAUGACGGUACCGGACCAAGAAGCACCGGCUAACUACGUGCCAGCAGCCGCGGUAAUAAGAAGGGGGCAAGCGUUAUCCGGAAUUACUGGGGGUAAAGGUAGCGUAGACGGCUGUGCAAGUCUGGAGUGAAAGGCGGGGGCCCAACCCCCGGACUGCUCUGGAAACUGGAUGGCUGGAGUGCAGGGGAGGUAAGCGGAAUUCCUAGUGUAGCGGUGAAAUGCGUAGAUAUUAGGAGGAACACCAGUGGCGAAGGCGGCUUACUGGACUGUAACUGACGUUGAGGCUCGAAAGCGUGGGGAGCAAACAGGAUUAGAUACCCCUGUAGUC